CUCACGGAGUCCAGUGACAAAUAAGAUCCCUAUAGGAAAGCAUAGAGUAAUGCUUUCCUAUAGGCCGGUUUGGAUGCACUCUCACCUGGCCCUGGGGGGGAGGAGUGGUCAUCAGUGCAGAGGGAGCCCGGCGCUGGAUUAAGGUAAAUGGCUGAAGGAGUUUUAAACCAUUCAGUGCCAAGGGAGGGCACUCCAAGAGCCUAUAGUGACAGGAAAAUUGAUUUGUUUUUUAUGGAACUAUAGGAUCCCUUUAAAAUAAGCAUAUCCUUACGUUUUGGCUCCUUAUGCUAACAUGUCCAUUUACCAGGUAUUAUUGCACAGGCUAUAUUUAAACACACAAAAUGUAGCCCUAAGCCCCAGGCCAAGUAUUAUUUCACAGGCUAUAUUUAAACACACAAAAUGUCCUAAACCCCAACUCCCAGUACUCUUGGCCAGAAUUAAUGUCUUUAGUAGUUAUCAAUCCAAAAACAAAUCAGGUUUUGCUCUAUGUUGCCUUUUUAAGCAGCAAGGUGAAUUCUUAGUGCAGGAUUAAUGUAAGAGGUUUGCCUUGACGUUACAGAUGAGCUUACAGUCGUGUAUAUAUAUAUGUGUGUGUGU